GCGCCUGUAGCUCAGCUGGAUAGAGCAACGGACUUCUAAUCCGUAGGUCGCAGGUUCGAGUCCUGCCAGGCGUGCCA
rnacentral:tRNA from 1 species